UUGGAGGGCAAGUCUGGUGCCAGCAGCCGCGGUAAUUCCAGCUCCAAUAGCGUAUAUUAAAGUUGCUGCAGUUAAAAAGCUCGUAGUUGAAUUUCGGGACCAAUAUGUCGGUCGUGCCUCGGUACGUACUGGCAUCGUUGGUUUCUCCCUUCUGACGAACCAUGAUGUCAUUCAUUUGGUGUCGUGGGGAAUCAGGACUGUUACUUUGAAAAAAUUAGAGUGUUUAAAGCAGGCUAACGCUUGAAUACAUUAGCAUGGAAUAAUGAAAUAGGACGUUCGAUCUUAUUUUGUUGGUUUCUAAGAUUGACGUAAUGAUUAAUAGGGAUAGUUGGGGGCAUUAGUAUUCAAUUGUCAGAGGUGAAAUUCUUGGAUUUAUUGAAGACUAACUACUGCGAAAGCAUUUGCCAAGGAUGUUUUCAUUAAUCAAGAACGAAAGUUAGGGGAUCGAAGACGAUCAGAUACCGUCGUAGUCUUAACCAUAAACUAUGCCGACUAGGGAUCGGAUGAUGUUAAUUUUUUAAUGACUCAUUCGGCGCCUUACGGGAAAC
rnacentral:rRNA from 1 species